AAACAGAAGGCAGAGACAGCGACAGACUUCACGUCUCAGAAGCAGGAAAGGACUAAAUCAUCCUGCAUUAAACCCUGACUCAACCGCAGCUCACAGGAAAGUGGAACACCUGUUUCAAAAGACAAAUAUGAAGGAUGAUGAAACAGAUGCUUGGUAACAAGGCCACAGACAGAUGGACUUCACCAGAAGACUGAUGAGAGGAGGUGUGGGCGUGUGGGCGUGUUGGGGAACACCGACCCGAUUCUGAAUACAGAUCCCCUUUAGAAAUUUACCUAACUUGUUGUGAAAACCCUGUUGAGGUCAAGGUGACUUCAGAUCCGCGCCGAGUCUUGACAUUUUUUCCUCUUGAGCCAUUGUAACUGUUGCAUACUGUCGCUCAUGGGAAACCUGUGUUUGCUGACCACACAAUCACCAGCCAGUGCCUGGCACCACGAUUGCUUACAGUCCCUGAGCAUACAAACUGUGCGUCAGCCGGUUGGUCUGUGCACUUUCCCAUGUGGUGACAUACGGAUGUCUGCCCCUCCCAUAAUCAGGAUAUGAGCCGGUCAUCUGUUUGGCGGCACUCCUCUGCCCACUCUGAUGCUGUCGGUAACCCAUCUCGCUCAAUCGUCACAUGUCCAUAAUUACUGUCCCGUGGAGACAAAAUAUGGCUGAACGACAGAGACGAGCGAUGCUGGUUUUUGCAAUGAUAAUAAAAUCUGGCUUUGAACGGCGCUCAAACCACUUUUCUCUGCUGUUUAUUCUGCCCCUUUGUGUACGACACAAAACCCGGUGUAUGUCAUGUCUAUUUGUCUACAUGGUUGUAAUAUUUGUAAUUCGAGAAAGGAGUUCCUUCUCGUUUGGGCCAGUACGUAGUCAUUUAAAGUAUUGUGUAAAAAGAUACUAAACCUACUCCACAGCUUGAACCCAUCCUUAUUCAAUCACAGGUUUCGUACCGUUGCAGUGAGGUGGUGCGUGGCUUUCUACGUUUGCAUGUGUUGUGCACGUAUGUUUAUGAUUUUUUUUUUUACAUUUUGCCCUUUUCCUUAGCUUAUGUGAGCUCAGGGUUAUACACUACAUUGUCACUCUUUCCCCAUAUGAUACAAAAUAUGUCUCAUAUGUAACCCGCUGCAGCACUGCAACCCAACGUCACGUUCUAAUUGGCUGUAGCGUUGCUCUGAUGCUCUCUUGUGGGUUUCCAAGCUGAUCAAAUUCCUAAGCAGCCGGUUUGUCACUUGAGUCAUCUCGUCCUGUGUAAUCCUUUGUCUGCCGGCCCUGAGCGAGGCAUAUCGCACAGACAGAGGGGCUUUUGAAAUGCAGUAAAUUUGAAAUGUAAAAAUGUCCCUUAUUUUUUUCCCUUUUUGAUUAAUGCCCCAGACCACACACUGUGUGGGGAGUGAGGGGAAUUUUUCUUCCUUAAUAAGCAUGUUUCAGGUUGUAACAGGCUGUUUUCCUUUCAUUCAUAUUCAUGUCGCAGUGUCUGUGAAAACAGCCAUGUCUGAAUCAUCACAGCCCAUCACACGGCAACUGUGUGGAUGGUGACUUCAAAGUGAAUGACAUUUACUUCCCAACAUCAAAAUAGCUAAGAAUUAUAUUUCAUAUCUGACUGUAAAGAAAAUGAGUUUGACUGUGGUUUCAAUACGCUGCCAAGUAAAAUGAUUCCUUUGGCUUGUAUAGUUCAAACAAACUCCUAUCUCAAAAGUCUACGCAU